GGAUUUCUAUUCAUGAGGUGCGGUCGCGGCCCUCGGCGGGAGCAACAGCUACCGUCGGGCGGUAGAGGUAACACUUUCACGCGCCGCAUGUCUGAAUCCUUUUUUUACGAGCACCUUUCGUUCUCCUUCGGCGGGGCAACCUGCCGUUGGAACCUAUCAAAACCUUUUUUUGCAUCUAGCAUUACCUGUUCUGAUACAAACAAUCGUUACAACUUUCAACAAUGGAUCUCUUGGCUCUGGCAUCGAUGAAGAACGCAGCGAAAUGCGAUAAGUAGUGUGAAUUGCAGAAUUCAGUGAAUCAUCGAAUCUUUGAACGCACAUUGCGCCCCUUGGUAUUCCAUGGGGCAUGCCUGUUCGAGCGUCAUCUACACCCUCAAGCUCUGCUUGGUGUUGGGCGUCUGUCCCGCCUCUGCGCGCGGACUCGCCCCAAAUUCAUUGGCAGCGGUCCUUGCCUCCUCUCGCGCAGCACAUUGCGCUUCUCGAGGUGCGCGGCCCGCGUCCACGAAGCAACAUUACCGUCUUUGACCUCGGAUCAGGUAGGGAUACCCGCUGAACUUAAGCAUAUCAAUAGGCCGGGAGGAA
rnacentral:rRNA from 1 species